rnacentral:pre_miRNA from 1 species
AGUGCAAUUGCUAGAUCAUAUGGAAAGGCUAUGUUUAGCUUUGUAAAAUACUGCCAAAUUAUCUUACAAAGAGGCUUUACAAUUUUGCAUUUCUAACAGCAAU